rnacentral:rRNA from 1 species
GUCUAUGGCCAUAUCACCCUGAACGUGCCUGAUCUUGUCUGAUCCCGUGAAGCUAAUCAGCAUUGGAACUGGUUAGUACUUGGAUGGAAGAAAAUAGGCAAAAAGUAAGCACAAAGGGA